rnacentral:lncRNA from 1 species
GGCAAUUCUGUGACACUUUCCAAUCUAAGGCCGACAGAGCAAGGCAACCAGAUUUUUUUCUACAGCACCCUCCCAGGUGAGCAGUGGGCCUGGAGCCCUUCUGUAACCUGGCAUCUGUAGGUCUUCUCAUUAAGAACGAGAGUCAGAAGAGGAAAGGACUUAACACUCAUUACAACUCAGUCAUGGGGCUCUGAAGCGUCCCGAGGUCCCCUCUUUCCCACCCUACCUGUCGGCUGCGCGGCUCCACCACUUGCCAAACUAGGAGGAUUAAGUCGGUCUCGUCCGAGCCUAGGUCCGGCCCCAGCGCACCGGCAGUGGCCCCGAACAAAACCACCAGCGACUGAGCAGGCACUCUGAGUCCUCCGCAAAAGAAUGUGCAGGAUCAGAGGCCUCUUUCCAUUCUGCAAGGGUCACGCAAGACCCAUGGAAUUCAACAGGAGGCAAUCUAGGGACUAUAAAAGGUCGCGACGUCUGGCUUGAGGUUAAUGGAAGUUACAAAGGGUCAAAAGCCGACAGUGAGCGCUACCAGACCUCGCCUCCCGAUUCUCGGGAGAUCUUGCUGACUGUGGAAUCCCUGGCUGUUCCGAACCCCCUGGAAAGAAGCGGCUGUUCCCAGGUUUCUGCAAGGUAACGAAUCUGAAGAGUCAACAGAAUUGAGCGGCUCCAUUCAUUCGACUCUGGUUCUCUCAACCAGGCAUUCCCCAUAUUAAAACAAUUCCAGAACUUCAAA